UACGUAGGGGGCUAGCGUUGUCCGGAAUCAUUGGGCGUAAAGAGCGCGUAGGCGGUCCGAUAAGUCGGCUGUGAAAGUCAGGGGCUCAACCCUUGAAAGCCGGCCGAUAUUGUCGGACUAGAGUCCGGAAGAGGCAAGUGGAAUUCCCGGUGUAGCGGUGAAAUGCGCAGAUAUUGGGAGGAACACCAAUGGCGAAGGCAGCUUGCUGGGACGGUACUGACGCUGAGGCGCGAAAGCGUGGGGAGCAAACAGG
rnacentral:rRNA from 1 species